rnacentral:lncRNA from 1 species
GCCUGCCCCAUUUCUUUGCUGCCUGUUAAAAUGCAGCUUUUUCAAAUCAGAAAGAAAAGCACAGAAAAGGAGUGCAUGUCUCCUCAUGGUGAGAUUAGCAAGACCGGAUCCAGUGCCCCACCCUCCCCAGUCUUCCCUGUCGCCCUGCUUCUGCAGCAGCCUGUUGUGGAUGCUGUCAUGCCUGUGCCACCUGUCUGGCCUGCAAGUAACAGCAGCCCAGCAAAGCUCUGCCGGCCACGAGCCCAGCCACAGAGCUCUCUGGUGGAACAAGCACACGGGCCAGUCCACUGGACCACAGAUUCUGGUCCUGCCUACAGCCAGGGACAAACCUGUGACCUCAGGAUGCAGUGGACUCUCUUUGCACUCACAGUGGGAAUUUUCAUCAUCUUCCUGAGAUAAACUUGUCCUUCUGCCUUGAAGAACACACACGCAACCUGUUGGAUCCACAGCGCCCCCCCCCCCUUUGGAGAGACAGCUUCUUAUAUGGGAGCAGUUGGUAAGUGGCCAUCCAAAAGGGAAAAAGAAAAUAACCAGGGAACAUGACCACCUUGCCUUGGUCCAAGGAGGCAGAAAGGGCAGAUGCACUGCAGAGACCACGUGAGCCCCUUGGGAUGCAAAAGACCCUUGUACUGACCACCCCAAAUUAUGCACUGGUCUGGGCCUCUCUCAGCACUUCAGCCGGGAAAGACUAAAACUCUUAUGGUCAAAUCUCACACAUUUUGGGACUGUGAGGUGGGCUUUCAGAAACUACCCCAAAUAUCAAACGAAAGAUGGACUGCAGACUGUUGGACUGAAGCUGCUUCGCGGAUGAAGUCUCUGUUUGGUCCAACUUUGUGUCCUCUGCAGCACAUAAAUAAUGUCUGGUGUGUAGAAUCGGCUCUAUAAAUGGAUAAUGCAGGCCCACAUGGCUUUCUCCCUCCGACUGAGUCGCAUGUGAGGGGCCAUUGACUGUGUGCAGUCAAUCCUGGGACCAGACCUCCAGCACAAGAGGAAUAUGUGUGCCUAUGUCACUGUGUUCUUUGUAAGAGACAGGCCAGAUGGGAAGAAAGGGGCUGCCUUUGACCUUUCAGAGCCACUGAACACAGCUGGUCAUCAGAAGCCACACACGCACACACACACGUGCAUACACGCACACAAGGGCCACAGACAGUUCUUUGACAGCUGUAUCUUGAUCGCCAAAGGAGAUAAAUGUUACAAGUAAGUCGCUGGAUUGCAAUUCGUGGAGAACAAGCCAGAGUUUAAACUCACCCAAGUUGGAAGCAGCACACUGGAUUCAAGUUCCAUUUCUUUUUCUUCUUUGAGUUAUCGUUUAGAUUUUGUGGUUAGCAGUGGGUGAUGAGGAAGCUGGGCUCUUCUUGGAGGAUCGUACUGGAAAAGGUGAUUUUCCUGGAUGGAGAAAGCCUGGGUUACUUUCUCCUCCCCUCCUCUUCCCUCUUUCCUCUUCUUUCCUCUUCUCUUCUCUUCUUUUUUUUUUUUUUCUUUCCUAGUACUGGGGAUUGAACCCAUGGCCUUCAUACUGAGUUACAUUCCUAGACCCUUUUGUAUUUUAUUUUUCGGAGAGGGGAUCUUAAUGUGUUGCUAAAUUGCCCAGACUGAGCUUGACCUUGUGAUCCUCCUGCCUCAGCCUUGCAGAGUGCUGGGAUUACAGAUAUGCAGGAAAAACUCUAAAUAAUAGUCUGAAAUUUCGAUGACGUUUCCACAGUAGACAGGCACAGCCUGAUUUAUUAAACCGCCUGUCCCUAUCCUUGGU